rnacentral:rRNA from 1 species
CCUACGGGUGGCAGCAGUAGGGAAUAUUGGUCAAUGGGGGAAACCCUGAUCCAGCAACGCCGCGUGAGUGAAGAAGUAUUUCGGUUCGUAAACCUCUAUUGUCAGAAAAGAAAAUGACGGUACCUCACGAAUAAGCCCCGGCUAACUACGUGCCAGCAGCCGCGGUAAUACGGAGGGUGCAAGCGUUACCCGGAUUGACUGGGUGUAAAGGGAGCGUAGGCGGCAUCGAAAGUCUGAAGUGAAAUGCCGUGGCUCAACCCCGGAACUGCAUUGGAAACUGUUAAGCUGGAGUGUAGGAGAGGUAAGCGGAAUUCCUGGUGUAGCGGUGAAAUGCGUAGAUAUCAGGAGGAACAC